AUUGAACGCUGGCGGAAUGCUUUACACAUGCAAGUCGAACGGCAGCACGGACUUCGGUCUGGUGGCGAGUGGCGAACGGGUGAGUAAUGUAUCGGAACGUGCCCAGUCGUGGGGGAUAACGUAGUGAAAAUUACGCUAAUACCGCAUACGAUCUAUGGAUGAAAGCGGGGGAUCGCAAGACCUCGCGCGAUUGGAGCGGCCGAUAUCAGAUUAGGUAGUUGGUGGGGUAAAGGCCCACCAAGCCAACGAUCUGUAGCUGGUCUGAGAGGACGACCAGCCACACGGGAACUGAGACACGGUCCAGACUCCUACGGGAGGCAGCAGUGGGGAAUUUUGGACAAUGGGCGAAAGCCUGAUCCAGCCAUUCCGCGUGCAGGAUGAAGGCCCUCGGGUUGUAAACUACUUUUGUACAGGACGAAAAGGUUUCUACUAAUACUAGGAGCUCAUGACGGUACUGUAAGAAUAAGCACCGGCUAACUACGUGCCAGCCGCCGCGGUAA
rnacentral:rRNA from 1 species